GUCGCUUUAGCUCACUUGGGAGAGCGCCAGACUGAAGUUCACUUCGGUUGUCACACCUGUGCGGUAUCUGGAGGUACUGUGUUCGAUCCACAGAAGCGACA